CUUGUUUCUACCCUUCAAUAUAGCUUCUGGAAAUCUGCUAUACUUAAACGCUGAACUGUCACUUCUCUUCCCGUUAAAACACUAUUGAAGUGCUUACUAGGCUGAGGAGUGCAGUGAAGCAAAGGAAAAAAAUGCAUUGUUUAAGAAAAUGUUAUCACCCAAUGAUGCCAGAGGGCUAUAGCCAGGCAUACAAUGCAAUUAAUAAAC